AGUGAACGCUGGCGGCGUGCUUAACACAUGCAAGUCGAACGAGAACGGGUUAUAGCUUGCUAUAAUUGUCAGCUAAGUGGCGCACGGGUGAGUAAUGUAUAGGUAAUAUGCCUCUUACUAAGGGAUAACAAAUGGAAACGUUUGCUAAUACCUUAUACUCCUUAUUAACAUAAGUUAAUAAGGGAAAGAUUUAUUGGUAAGAGAUUAGCCUGUAUUGUAUCAGUUAGUUGGUGGGGUAAUUGCUUACCAGGACUAUGACACAUAACUGGUGUGAGAGGAUGAUCCGUCACACUGGAACUGAGACACGGUCCAGACUCAUACGGGAGGCAGCAGUGGGGAAUAUUGCACAAUGGACGAAAGUCUGAUGCAGCAACGCCGCGUGGAGGAUGACACAUUUCGGUGCGUAAACUCCUUUUAUAUGAGAAGAUAAUGACGGUAUUAUAUGAAUAAGCACCGGCUAACUCCGUGCCAGCAGCCGCGGUAA
rnacentral:rRNA from 1 species